GUCUUCCCACCUGCACUUCUUGUGCUGGGUAUUUCACAGUUAAUGGUGAACAGGAAGGAUCUGGAGGCGACCUGGUGCUUUGGGAGGUGGGGUGGAGGGCUCGGCUGGGCGCCUUGCAAUGACGGCAUCCUCUUGAUGCUGAUACAGAAGGAAGGGUCAUAGCCAUGCCAGGACAGUGACAGCAGGGGCAGCUGCCACCGCCCCCUCCCCUGGCACAUGCCACUUGACUCAGUGCCUAAAGAUAACAAAACAGAGCCAUAGGAAAACAGAAGAAUUCCAUUAGCCGGAGCAGUCGUCCUCAGGAAGAGGCACACAGGCUUCAACCUGCCAAAGUUCCCCCAACGUGUGUUCCUUGCCAUGACACCGCUGCAGUCCUUCCUGGUCUUUUGUUAACUGAUCACCUGUCUGGGCAGCAAGAAUUGACAGCUUCAACUGGAAAACUCAUUUAGGUGGAGUUCUGAGCAAGUCUGCUAAUGAUGAACUUCCUUCUUCAGUUCUUGACAGAAACCGUCUCCAGUGUUUCCAUUGCCUCAACGCAGCUCGGAGGACUUCUCUGCCCACUGUGGUCUGGCUGCCCCCCCGCUCCCGGCACCCACUCCUCCUGGAAGGGCUGCUCCUGCCAAGGUCGUCAACAACCUCCUUGCUCCAGACCAUGCCCAGCGCGCCUCCUUGGUCCGCACUGUCCUUGGCAUCCUGUCCCCGGGGACCAGCUCCCAGGCUCGGCUCCUGCCUCUGCACCGCCUCCCUCUCCAUCUCUGUUGCAGGCUCUCCUUCCCACCCCCGGCCUUGAACACAGCCCUCCUCUGCUUUUUCCCCAUCACAACGGGGCUAUUUCUCCUGUGUGUCGCAGGCACCGAAUUUCAUUAUGUCACAAGCGGAGCGAUGCCUCUCAUACCCCCACCCAUACCUGCCCAGACCUGAGAGCUGCUGUCCUAUGCUCCCCGCCCAGGAAAGCCACCAUCGUCCACAAGGGGGCUUGUCCCCUCCCCCCCCCACCUCCCCACAAAUCGUUGCCCAGAGCUGCCCUUGACCUUUCAGAUCCCCUCACCUCUGCCUCCUUCCAUCCACCCCGGAUGCCACGAUUCCUGCCUGGAUUCCUGGAAGUGCCCCCUCACUAGUCUCCCUUCUCUCCAACCACUUCUCCAAACCACAGACCGAAUGCUCUUUCUAAAAUGAAAAUCUUGGAGUUCCCAUGGUGGCUCAGCAGGUGAAGAACCCAACAUAGUGUCCAUGAGGAUGCGGGUUCGAUUCCUGGCCUCGCUCAGUGGGUUAAGGAGUAGGCAUUGCUGCAAGCUGCAGUGUAGGUGGCAGAUGCUGCUGAGAUGCCAUUGCUGUGGCUGUGGCUAGGCUGGCAGCUGCAGCUCCCACUGACCCCUAGCCUAGGAACUUCCAUAUGCCGCAGGUUCAGCCCUUGAAAGAAAAAAUAAAAUAAUAAAAUAAAAUAAAAUCUGUUCA
rnacentral:lncRNA from 1 species